AUCCUUCUACAGGAAGCGGCAGAACCUUCGUAGUUCAACAGGGAUCUGUGAGCUAUGCAGGGCUGAUAAGCAGCACUCAUGGAGACAAAGCUAGGUAAAUCUUGCUGCUGUUCACUCUUUGGGUCCACACUGCCUUUAUGAGCUGUAACACUCACCAUGAAGGUCUGCAGCUUCACUCCUGAAGCCAGCGAGACCACAAACCCACCGGGAGGAAUGAACAGCUGCAGACGCGCGGCCUUAAGAGCUGUAACACUCACCAGGAAGGUCCGCAGCUUCACUCCUAAGCCAGCGAGACCAGGAACCCCACCAGAAGGAAAAAACUCCGAACACAUCUGAACAUCAGAAGGAACAAACUCCGGACACGCUGCCUUUGAGAACUGUGACACUCACCGUGAGGGUCCGCGGCUUCAUUCCUGAAGUCAGUGAGACCAAGAACCCACCAAUUCCGGACAUGUUUCCUCACUUCCUUUAUAGCUUAUUUAAAUGUGACUUUCUCGAGGUUGUCUUUGACCAUCCUUUGUGAAACAGCACUCCUAUCAAUGUCACCUUCCCCUGCUUGGUUUUUGUUAUUAGCACUUAUUGCCAUCUCUGGCAGAGAUUUAUAGCACAUUAAAUAUCCAUUUGCUACCAGCUCCUUUCAUAUAACCCUUGCAAUUAGGUCAGGCCCUAUAAACAAUGGGCUGUGAGCAAAAAGGGGCAUAUACACAUCUAGGCAAAAGCACCAAAUGCAACCCUCCAGCUCUGUCUUCCCCUGCUGCAGUGAUCUAGACCACAUGUUGCAGUGGUGAAGCCACAGAGUGGACACAGCCUAAAUCACUGAGUCACUGCCUGGGUCAGCUGUUCUGGGAAGUUGCCUGGCUCAGUGAGUUUUCCAUGGUGGAAAAAUAAACUUUGUUGUGUUAAAUCACUGAGCUUUUGGGAUUGAUUUGUUACCACAGCAUAAUGUAUUAUCUGAUAUGGUCUAAAUUGUGUCCCUCCACCCCCAAAAUUCAUAUGUUGAAGUCCUAACUCCCAGAUCUCAGAAUGUGACUGCAUUUUGAGAUAGGGUCCUUAAAGAGGAGGUUAAAAAAGGAGAUUAGAGUGGGCCCUAAUCCAAUAUGACAGAUGUCCUCAUAAGAAGAGGUGAUUAGGUCGGGUGCGGUGGCUUACACCUGUAAUUCCAGCACUUUGAGAGGCCAAGGUGGGCAGAUGAGGUCAGGAGUUCGAGA
rnacentral:lncRNA from 1 species